rnacentral:lncRNA from 1 species
CUUCUCCGGUGCGGAAGGCAAGCGAGGACCGCCCCUUUUCGCCACAUGCUGGCUGCUUCGGGCGACCACGGAUGACCUCAAGGCGCCCCCGGAUUUUAGGAAAGGGACUGCAAUUCCCAGAAUGCAUUGGCGGUUUAAGGCUUUCACUUCCUAGGGCCAGGGAGAGCAGGUUCUGAGGUACAACGGCAAAAACGUCCGGAGCAACAGCAAGGAAAAGUACGGCGUACGGUUCUGUAGCACCUUGUUCAGGGUAUUCGCCACAUUUCAAGGAAAUUAUUUAAUUCGGUAAAAUUAAUGAGGAAAGUAUUAAUCUUCUAAACAAGUUACGCGGCAGAGGCUGGUAUUAUCCCCAAUUUACAAAUGAAGAAACUGAGUUUUCUGUGAUUAAGGUCAUUUGGGUAUCACAAAAAUCUUAAUUUUGAAAAGCAUACUGGUAUCAUCUUGUGUUACAGAGGAGAAAAGGGAAGUCUAUGGCUCUAUUUGAUUCUAUGACUAUGUGUUUUCCUCAGAAAUUGACUAUCCCAGUGGCCUGAUGUAUUCCAGUAAUACAAGUGGGGAAAGAGGGAUUUGAAUGGAACUAAGACAGUCUUUAUCCCUUUCUCCCAAUCACGGGCCAGAUUCUUUUUUUUUUUUUCUUUCUUUCUUUCUUUCUUUCUUUCUUUCUUUCUUUCUUUCUUUCUUUCUUUCUUUCGAUAGUCUCACUAAACUGCCCUGGCAGGAUUCGAACUUUUGAUCCUCCUGCCUCACCUUCCAGAGUAGCUGGGAUUACAGGUAUGCACCACCACUCCCGUGUAAGACCGAGGGCCUUACCAAAUGCUCCGAGGAGCUGACUGCAGUGAAGCACACCCGGGGAUCCCAGCGGUGCCUCCAAAAUGUAAGACCGAGGGCCUUACCAAACGCUUCGAGGAGCUGACUGCAGCGAAGAACACCCGG